rnacentral:lncRNA from 1 species
AUAUAAGACAUUUGAUUUAAUUAUUUGAAUUAAAGUUAAAUAAUAAUUAUUUAAAUUUUGUUCCACUGUGAUGCAUUGAUAUCGUGAUGCUUUGCUUGCUUAUGGAGAAAGUUCUUCAUAAGUAUGCGGCAGUUGUCAUGUCUUCUAACUUGCGAUCUCGGAUCAGAGGUGUGAUAAUGAUUGCAGUGGUUAUAGUUGAUAUUUGGUUGUGGCGACCAAUAUUCAAGUAAUGGUUUGAACAUCGAUGAGGGCAUCGACAGC